CCUACGGGAGGCAGCAGUGAGGAAUAUUGGUCAAUGGGCGCGAGCCUGAACCAGCCAAGUCGCGUGAAGGAUGACUGCCCUACGGGUUGUAAACUUCUUUUAUCAAGGAAUAAAGUCAGGCACGUGUGCCUUUUUGUAUGUACUUUAUGAAUAAGGCUCGGCUAACUCCGUGCCAGCAGCCGCGGUAAUACGGAGGAUCCGCGCGUUAUCCGGAUUUAUUGGGGUUAAAGGGAGCGUAGAUGGGUUGUUAAGUCAGUUGUGAAAGUUUGGGGCUCAACCGUAAAAUUGCAAUUGAUACUGGCAGCCUUGAGUACAGUAGAGGUAGGCGGAAUGCGUGGUGUAGCGGUGAAAUGCAUAGAUAUCACGAAGAACUCCGAUUGCGAAGGCAGCUUACUAAACUGCCACUGACAUUGAUGCGCGAAAGUGUGGGUAUCAAACAGGAUUAGAUACCCGAGUAGUC
rnacentral:rRNA from 1 species